rnacentral:rRNA from 1 species
GACGAACGCUGGCGGCGUGCUUAACACAUGCAAGUCGAACGGAAAGGCCUCUUUCGGGGGGUACUCGAGUGGCGAACGGGUGAGUAACACGUGAGUAACCUGCCCUUGACUUUGGGAUAACUUCCGGAAACUGGGGCUAAUACCGGAUAGGAGCUCCUGCUGCAUGGUGGGGGUUGGAAAGUUUCGGCGGUUGGGGAUGGACUCGCGGCUUAUCAGCUUGUUGGUGGGGUAGUGGCUUACCAAGGCUUUGACGGGUAGCCGGCCUGAGAGGGUGACCGGCCACAUUGGGACUGAGAUACGGCCCAGACUCCUACGGGAGGCAGCAGUGGGGAAUAUUGCACAAUGGGUGGAAGCCUGAUGCAGCAACGCCGGGUGCGGGAUGACGGCCUUCGGGUUGUAAACCGCUUUCGCUCAUGACGAAGCUUUGUGUGACGGUAGUGGGUAAAGAAGCACCGGCUAACUACGUG